rnacentral:rRNA from 1 species
AUGCUCUGGGAGAAACUGAAGAGCUUCCUGGGCAUAAACAAGCACAGAAGCUUCAAGUUCCUGUCCAUGGAGAAGCAUCAGAGUUUCGAGGGGAGGAGGAGCAGGGACAACCCUGGAAAGAAGAGGGUGAUAGCGCACCACCUCGCGGCAAGGACCGACAAUAUCUGCCAUGUCCGACAAAUGGCGCAGUUGUUCCGUUUGCCUCAUUCAAUUUGGUCCAUAGACUGUUGCCAUUUGAUAUAA